CUACCAUGCAGUCGAGCGGGAUAUACCGGUUUAGUUUACUAAGCUGGUAAAUUCAGCGGCGGACGGGUGAGUAACGCGUGAGCAAUCUGCCUUGUACAGGGGGAUAACAGCCGGAAACGGCUGCUAAUACCGCAUAAGGCCACAGUACCGCAUGGUACAGGGGUCAAAGGAGAGAUCCGGUAUAAGAUGAGCUCGCGUUCCAUUAGCUGGUUGGUGAGGUAACGGCCCACCAAGGCAACGAUGGGUAGCCGGCCUGAGAGGGUGAACGGCCACAUUGGGACUGAGACACGGCCCAAACUCCUACGGAAGGCAGCAGUGGGGGAUAUUGCGCAAUGGGGGAAACCCUGACGCAGCAACGCCGCGUGAGUGAAGGAGGCCCUCGGGUCGUAAAACUCUGUGACAGGGGAAGAAGAAAGUGACGGUACCCUGAGAGGAAGCCCCGGCUAACUACGUGCCAGCAGCCGCGGUAACACGUAGGGGGCAAGCGUUGUCCGGAAUUACUGGGCGUAAAGGGUGCGUAGGCGGCCGAGCAAGUCCGAUGUGAAAGACCACGGCUAAACUGUGGGGGUGCAUAGGAAACUGUCCGGCUUGAGUGCAGGAGAGGAAAGUGGAAUUCCUAGUGUAGCGGUGAAAUGCGUAGAGAUUAGGAAGAACACCAGUGGCGAAGGCGACUUUCUGGACUGUAACUGACGCUGAGGCACGAAAGCGUGGGGAGCGAACAGGAUUAGAUACCCUGGUAG
rnacentral:rRNA from 1 species